ACCCUAUUAUAAAAAGUUUAAAAAAAAAUAUUAGGGAAGUAUCAGAUAUGUUCUUGAAAUUUAAAAAAUUUGGCGGUAUUUUAAUCUUUUCAGAGGAACCUGUUUUGUAAUCGAUAAUCCACGAUAGGUAAUACUUAAUUUACUAAUUUACAUAUCGUCGUAAUUUGAGUAUCUUAUAAGGGGAAAAAUAUUCAGGAUUUAAAAUUAUAAAAUAAAUCAGAUCAAGGUGUAGUUUAUAAUUAAGAAAUAAUGGGUUACAAUAAAUUUAUUUAUAAUGGUUAUAAUAAUUAAAAUAUUAUAUAAGGUGGAUUUGAAUGUAAUAUAUUUAAUUUUAAAUAUAUGAUUAUAGCUCUAAAAUAUG
rnacentral:rRNA from 1 species